GUAGGGAAGUGAGUGCGUUUUGGUCGCUGGUCGAGGAGCUCAGCCCAAGACCAGCAGAUGUGACAUGCCUCACUCAGCAUCCAGGAUUUGAGGCAUUCUGCCUGAAUCCGUUUGUGCUGAAGAUAGCGUACACACAUUUCAAGCAGGAUCAUGGUCCCCUUCAAGCCAGCACGCACGAGCAAUACCGGUACACUGCAUACAGGCAGGCUAUACGCUGGGCUCAUGGAGUUCUUGGCCUGCAUAUAAGGAAGCCUCUACCCUCCUGUCUGGUUUCAGCCAUCAGGCAACAAUUUCAGAGUGGUGACCAGACCUAUCAUGGCUUUCAAUGGCCUCGUUUGGAUGAAGAAUAAAAACCAUAUUGGCACGUA